GGGAAGGAAAGGCACUUGGAACAAAAAGGAGGGGAUUCCUCAUCAAUAAGGAAAGCUGCUGGCUUUUCACUGGGGCACCCUUCUGCAAAGAUGAGGCAAGGAAAAAAACAGACUGGAGGUGUCACACUGCUCACGGGAGAGGAGAUGAGUGCAGCACCAAGCUGUGGUGCAGUCAAGAGAAAGAUUUGCCACUGGUCUGACUGCUUGAUCUCAACAGAAAGCCAGCAGGAAACAGUGAGAAAGGAUCUGACCUAGUUGCUGUCAGCUGUGUUGGAAGUGAUUUUAUCAGCUCUACCUGCUCAAUGGGAGUAUUAUUCAAGACUGCAAGGACAAUGAUUUGGAAGCAAAUGAGCAGCAACCUGUGAGUUCUCCAGGGACAAAUGAAGAACACUUGUGCAGGACACAAGCAAUCAACAAUAGCAGGACAGUCUUGAGGCUGAGAGAGGAAGGAAAAGGGGGAGGGAGGGCUGAGCAUCUUUGUGUGUUUGCCUGGGGAAAAGAGAUAUUACCAGGCCAACUCAGCUUGUUCAAACAUCUCUGAGUUUGCUCCACAUUAAUUUCAGCAGUCAAGAGCAACAAAAGAACUGCUCUGAGCGACAUGGCAGCUACAUCUGGGGAGGAACAUUAUGUCCAUGUCAAGCUUUCAAAGUCUUAUAAACUGCAAGGAGUGCAACACAGUUUCUUAACAAGCAGUGAAGAACAGCCUUGACAGAACAGACUGUAAUGUAAGGUACCACAGUGCCACUUAUACCUGCUAUGGACCUAGUGUGCAUCACCAGGCUCAAAUAUAGCGUAGCCUCGGUGAAUCACAUCCUGCAGACCGCUCCUUAUAGGUGAACUAUUAAGGGAAAAGAAAACUUGUGGCAUCAGAAUAACAAAAGAGCCUCUAAAGAGCAAGUGGACAACAGUAUAUGGUGACGCAACCACUGCAGCAGGCACCACAAAGACACUUGACUGGUGUUUUCAAAAAGAAAAUUAUAAAAGGAAAAAAGAACUUUUUCAUGUUCUAACAUGAGCAGAAAGCCCCAGGUCACUGCCUUUCCAACCAUUAGGGCAAUAGCAGCACUCGCUGCGGUGUUCUAAGCUCAACAAGGAUGCUCUGAGCAGCAGUCUCACUGUGACCACUCAGCACAGUGCUCUGAAAUAUCCUCGUAUUUUAUAUUUGUUUUAAACAAAUUGAUGGUACAUAAGCAUAAAUAGCAUCAGGUACAUAGUCAGCUGGUAGUAUGACACACGUAUCACCAGUAAGACCCUGUGAAUUUUUAGUGUGCAGGUCACACCCAAAGAUUUCUCACCAUCUGUUCUGUCUCCACCACGUACCCCAUUCCCCAAAGGAUACUACGACAACUCCACGAGCAUCCAUCAAUAAGGCUGAGACAACCAUCACCCACAUGCACAACACACACAGGUCAAACGGGAAAAAAGCCCUUCAGCAUUGGGAUGGGUCCCUUUUGCACCUUCUCCCCCUGGGAUUACAGCAAAUAAGGACAUCUGGUGCCUUGUCUGAAGCCCUGAGAAACAUCAGUGUGGUAUACCUGCCUCUCUCAACAACUGUAUAUACUUAGACACUUAUAUCUCUACAUGCAUAUACACUCAGCGAGACCAAACAACUCCAGCAAAACAAAUGCCAGGCAUUUGAUGCCCACACGUGACACAAAUGGGUGAAUUUUUGUACACAUUCACCAAUUUUGCCCUGCCAGUCAGGGAGGUGGAUAAAGCCAAGGAAGAAAGAAGCCAAUGCCCUUUGCAAACAGGCACAGCGAGGUGCCAGUCCAGCUGAAAACACCAUGCCCAGCACCUUUGGAGGCAUUGCCCAGAGGGCAGGUGGUUAGAGAUGAAAAAGACACACCAGGAGAACUAUUCCAUAGGGACUGAUAUUUCAGCUACUAAGUAAGUUUCUGUUUAAACAGGCAAUAAUUACGUCCACUCAGGAAUUUCUCGUUUUCACCACUUAAAAACACCCAAAGCUGCUUUGAGGCUUUUCCUUUUUUCUCCCCAGCCUUCAUUUGCUAAGUAAACACAUUUGUGUGAGCCCUGGAUUCAGCAUUCAGUUUCUGCAGCAUCAGCUUAGAAGCAGAGCAGCAGUGACCCAGAGCUCCAGCAGGGCAUCCUGGCUCCUGCUCCUGACACUACAGCUCAUGGGAGUCCCAAACCAUCCAGCUCCUCACAAGACCUUCUCCCAGUGCAAGAUGAAGCAGAAGAUGUCGUUUUUUGCUAUGUGUGCUAAAAAUUACUGAUACCAGGGAUGCCCCUGAACUCCCUCACAGGUUGAAUGGGUCCCAUGAGUCAGUCUUGUUUCUGCUUAUAAAGCAGUGCUGCAAGUUUAACAGCAGAUCAAGGCCUCGCUUGAGGCAGGUGGGAGAUGUCCUAUUAAUUCAAACACUUUGCAACCUUUACAAGAGGAUGCAUGGAUCAGUGCAGUGAUACCUACUGUCUCCUUCACGGGCAGAUGUGGAUAUGCCACACCAAUGGGUACAGCCCCAAAGAGAGCAUCCACACCAGGCUGUGAAAGCUGUGCACCAGCACAAUCUCUUGCCUAUCGCUACAUCACUCUGCCCAUGAAGGUGCCUCUGAUAACCACAAGAAGACAGACAAAAUAAAGGGAAGCAGAAAAUUUGGAUCAGUCCCUGGCCUUGACGUAUGUAUACAUAGACAUGCAUACAAAUGAACGCAUAUGCAUGUUUGUGCCUGUGUGUGUAGCUUUGGGCAAGUCCCUUAGCCUCCUCACUUACUGGAAUUAGAAGGAGGGUAAUAUCACUGCCCUAAAUGUACUGUAAAAGCCAAGGGCUGUGUAAAUAUCUGUAAGGCACAAGGAAGCCCAAUAUCUGCAUCUCCACCCCACACCACUAUAGAUAAUGAGAAAUUUCAGCAAAGACGCACCACUGAAAUGUCUCAUCAGCCCGAGAUCAGUGGCAGCAGCCCAAGGAGGUUGCUGGCAGAUAUCCCAUGACACUUUCUAUUAUGUCUCUUUAUAUUGCCUUAUGUUUUGUGCAUCUGUUGGCCUUCUUGCCAAAGAGGAGAGCAGGUAGUGACUCCUCAACAAACAGGUCUGCUCCAUGCCUUUAGCAACAUGAAAGCCCCUUACAGUGACCAAAAACCUCUUCCCCUCUGAAAGCAGGUCGUCCCCACCACAUUCAGCCCCAGCUCAUUCAAAAAGCAAGUUCUCAGCUAAGAUCACGGUGCCAUUUUGCCAGGCUGGCCACACCAUGAACUGAUGUGCACCACGAGACCACAUCUCUGUGCAGCCUCUGCAGCAUCUCACAGAAGAAGGGGGGCGGUGGGAGAGGGGAGUCAUUUUUGACAAUGAAAAUGUAAUGGAACAUUUUGUAUCGAUCUAUGGUGGAAUUAGUCAUUUUUAGAGUGACUCGCCUCUUCUUUCCACCCCCAAAUUAUGGACUACAAGAAAUGAGCCUAGAUAAUGGGCAAUUUCAGAUGCUCUAAGCUCAGGCUUUUUUCCUGCUGAAACAGCAUACCAUGAUAGUAGAUGGACUGAGCUCCAGAGGAGACGCCCUUCAAAUUCCCACACCAUUUACCAGCUACAAAGAAGUUGUCUCUAACUAAUGGGAAAAACAGGAAAGGACCAGUCUGGAGAGAAAAUGGGAAACCAGAAGAAAGAUCUGGAAAGCAUCAACAGUGGAAGGAGACACAAAAAACAGAUGUUGAUCAGGCAGGAGAUCCUCCAAAACAAAAAUAAAAAACAAAUUAAGAAAGAAGGAGGGGAAUUGGAUUUGGGGGGAAAGAUGAAGUUGUUACUGCUGCUUCAGGAAAAUUCAGAGAGCUUUCCAGUCCAUGGACACUGGCCAUAGUAUUGGCCAUAGCAUACAGCAAAACCCACUGCUCCCACCCAUUUCCCAUUAGAUCUCAUUGAAGUGCAGUCUGUCUCACUUGAAAGCCAAUUCAUAACAUAUACAUCCAUAUUAAAUAUGUGCACACACAUACAAGCCCAUCUGUGAUUUGUUUUCUCUGGAGGACUAACUUUGAUAACAUUAAGCAGAAUGUGGCAAUUUCCUUAUGCACUUGCCUAGUAGGGUUUUUGCAUCGGUGCACAUACAAAAUUUCAUGGCAGGUAACCACCCAGCUCCUCAUCAGAUGCACACAGCAUUCAAACCCAGCCAAGAGAUCUUCCAGCUCUGGGAUUCAGAUGGAACCAACACUCUCCAUUCAAGGUAGAAACUGAUAUUUCGUACACUGAGAGAUGACUAAUCCCAAUAGCUGAGUUACAGCAUAACUUUUAACACACAAAAAAGAAAAGUUAAGGUCAUCUUGACUCUCAUCUACAGCAGCCCACAGUGUCCCCUCCCACAACUGCCUCACUGCUCUUUUUUCCUCCCACGGCUUUUCUCAUUUUCUGCCCUCCUCUUCAACCUUAUUUCCUUUCAGGUCUUCUCACCUCCUUCCAUACCAAUUCACCUUCCUCUGUCUAUCCACUCUGGCGCAUUAAAUACCCUUUUCCAUCAGCCACACUUCCCACCUCUGAAGUCCUUUUCUUCUAGGAAUCCCCUUUAUCUAGAUUUCCAUCUCCAGCAACCACCCAUGCCCUCCCUCACCCAGCCCUCAAGUGUAUGUUUGACCGUCUCUGAUUGCAGACUCCUAAGGACGAGGACUGGCUUCUUCUCCACUUUUAAAGCACUUUUAUGAGGAGGGUAAACGAUAAAUAAGCAAUCUCAGCAUUCCAGGGUAGCUCAGUGUCAGUUCCCUCCACCGAGCUCCCUUGGUGUUUGCGUUCCCUCCACAGCAAACUAAUCAGCUCUUAAGACUUUUUCUUCCUUAUCUCUCAGCUACAAGGCUAUUACUUAAAUUUUAUCAGCAUUCUUCAAAAAUGGUUGAGGAAG